rnacentral:rRNA from 1 species
UACGUAGGGGGCAAGUGUUGUCCGGAGUUAUUGGGCGUAAAGGGCACGCAGGCAGUCCAUUAAGUUCAGGGUGACAGUCAUCAGCUUAACUGAUGAAGUGCCUUGAAAACUGGUAGACUUGAGAGCGAGAGAGGGACACGGAACUCCGGGUGGAGCAGUGAAAUGCGUAGAGAUCCGGAAGAACACCAAAGGCGAAGGCAGUGUCCUGGCUCGUUUCUGACGCUCAGGUGCGAAAGCGAGGGGAGCGAACGGG